GGCUCAGUGGUCUAGUGGUAUGAUUCUCGCUUUGGGUGCGAGAGGCCCCGAUUUCGAUUAUCGGCUGAGCCC